UUCACUUCUCGGCCUUUUUGGCGAAGAUCAAGCGUAGUAUCUGUUCUUAUCAGUUUAAUAUCUGAUACGCCCCUAUCUGGGGGCCGUAAAUUAAAUGGAUUUUUAGAACGGGGAGAUGGAAGAAGCGCUUGCUCUGUCCACUUCUGUCAUUGACCUGGUAUUGCAGUACCUACAGGAAUGGGGCAUCAAAA
rnacentral:snRNA from 1 species